rnacentral:lncRNA from 1 species
AGGAUGAGCAGUCAAUCGGGCUGAAGGACUCCCUGUUGGCCCACUCUUCUGACCCUGUGGAAAUGCGAAGGCUUAACUACCAGACCCCAGGUAUGCGAGACCACCCGCCCAUCCCCAUCACUGACCUGGCAGACAAUAUUGAACGUCUCAAAGCCAAUGAUGGGCUCAAGUUCUCCCAGGAGUAUGAGAAUUUACCUUUGUCCUGCCCCAUACCUUGCCAUCUUUGCAAUAAAGCUGUGCCCACCUUGGCACCCAGGGCCCCUGCUCACAGCCA